AUGUUCCUUGUUUUCAGUGCUGUCCUGUUUUUAGCAGCAGCUGGAGACCAACUGGUCCAGGACCAGACGUCAUGGACCAGGAGAGAGGGCGAGAGUGUCUCCUUCAGCUGCAGAGAAACUGAGCAGUGUCCUUAUGUCUACUGGUACCAGGAAAGAGCAGGGGAACCUUUUGUUAUAAUUCUACGUAUUGAUGAAGACAAUGGAGACAUUUCAGGUUACGGUCAUCCUCAAAUAGAUUACUUCUCAGCCUUGAAAAGGGAGAACAACUAUGAUUUGGAGAUAAAGUCAGUUAAACGGUCCCAUUCUGCCACCUACUACUGUGCCUGCUGGAAGAGUGAACUGUUGCAGUCCAUGUGCAGUGUGAACUUGGCCUCUCUGGUUUACACUGUGAUGAUAGUGAAGAGCUUGGUGUACUGCUGUGGGCUCUCCCUCCUGCUGCUCCUCAGGGACAAGAAGGGAAGUCCACCCCACACCUGGAGAAAAGCUCAUUAA